rnacentral:tRNA from 1 species
AUUUAUGUAGUUUAAAAAACAUUAUAUUUUCAAUAUAAAAUUGGCUUAAUAAAGUUCAUAAAUU